GACGAAGUUGCUUUGACUACUGAACCAUGCCUGUCUCUUGGAGCGAAUUUCCUGAUCGGGCGGUUCGAAAGGUCCAUGUCUUUCUUGGCCCCUCGCUCUCCUUUCUUUCCUUAGUUGAGAUUGAGUCAUCAAAGCCUUAACUAAUUUGGGCUCGGCUGGCCCGGUCGCCCUAGGCUACUGUUCCAAAGGGAAAGAAGAAGCGCGUUAGCGCAGCCCUUUUGAAGGAGGGGCGGACAUGCUUGAUCUAAAGGCGAAUCCUCUGAAGUGGGCGUCGGCCCAGCGGGCGAAGCGGGCUCCGGCUCCGCCCACCUGUCUCAUUUCAGUGCUCGCCUUUUUCAUCUGGGCCUUGAGUCUU
rnacentral:misc_RNA from 1 species